rnacentral:rRNA from 1 species
UACGUAGGGUGCAAGCGUUGUCCGGAAUUAUUGGGCGUAAAGAGCUCGUAGGCGGCUUGUCGCGUCGGCUGUGAAAACCUGGGGCUCAACCCCGGGCCUGCAGCCGAUACGGGCAAGCUAGAAUUCGGUAGGGGAGACUGGAAUUCCUGGUGUAGCGGUGAAAUGCGCAGAUAUUAGGAAGAACACCGGUGGCGAAGGCGGCCACUGGUCCCGGU